GUUUAUAUGAAUGAUCUAAGUGUUGGAAGUAAACAUCGUACACUUUACAUUUGUACACUAAAAGUGUUAUACAAUCUAAAUGUACGAAUCAAACAGUGAAAAGUGACUACUUUGCAAAUUGUGAAUAGUAAAGUGAUUACUUUUCCAAUUAAGUUUGAAAAUGACUAUUUUGCCAACACACCCUUUUUGGGUAUAAA
rnacentral:sRNA from 1 species